UAGCGUAGGGGGCGUAGCGUUGUCCGGAAUCAUUGGGCGUAAAGCGCGCGUAGGCGGCCAGAUAAGUCCGGUGUGAAAGUCACAGGCUCAACCUGUGAAUGCCGCUGGAAACUGUCUGGCUUGAAGUCCGGGAAGGGGCGAGUGGAAAUUCCUGGUGUAGCGGUGAAAAUGCGUAGAUAUCCGGAGGAACACCGGUGGCGAAGC
rnacentral:rRNA from 1 species